rnacentral:rRNA from 1 species
GACGAACGCUGGCGGCGUGCCUAAUACAUGCAAGUUGAGCGAUGAAGAUUGGUGCUUGCACCAAUUUGAAGAGCAGCGAACGGGUGAGUAACGCGUGGGGAAUCUGCCUUUGAGCGGGGGACAACAUUUGGAAACGAAUGCUAAUACCGCAUAAUAACUUUAAACAUAAGUUUUAAGUUUGAAAGAUGCAAUUGCAUCACUCAAAGAUGAUCCCGCGUUGUAUUAGCUAGUUGGUGAGGUAAAGGCUCACCAAGGCGAUGAUACAUAGCCGACCUGAGAGGGUGAUCGGCCACAGUGGGACUGAGACAAGGCCCAAACGCCUAAGGGAGGCAGCAGUAGGGAAUCUUCGGCAAUGGACGAAAGUCUGACCGAGCAACGCCGCGUGAGUGAAGAAGGUUUUCGGAUCGUAAAACUCUGUUGGUAGAGAAGAACGUUGGUGAGAGUGGAAAGCUCAUCAAGUGACGGUAACUACCCAGAAAGGGACGGCUAACUACGUG